rnacentral:rRNA from 1 species
GAUUGAACGCUGGCGGUAUGCUUAACACAUGCAAGUCGAACGGAAACGAUACUAGCUUGCUAGUAGGCGUCGAGUGGCGGACGGGUGAGUAACGCGUAGGAAUCUGCCUGAUAGUGGGGGAUAGCCCGAAGAAAUUCGGAUUAAUACCGCAUAAUCUAUUCGUAGUAAAGUGGGGGACUUUCGAGCCUCACGCUAUCAGAUGAGCCUGCGUAAGAUUAGCUAGUUGGUAGGGUAAAAGCCUACCAAGGCAACGAUCUUUAGCUGGUCUGAGAGGAUGAUCAGCCACAUCGGGACUGAGACACGGCCCGAACUCCUACGGGAGGCAGCAGUGGGGAAUAUUGGACAAUGGGGGCAACCCUGAUCCAGCAAUACCGCGUGUGUGAAGAAGGCCUGAGGGUUGUAAAGCACUUUCAAUUGUGAAGAAAAGUUAACGGUUAAUAACCGUUAGCCUUGACGUUAACUUUAGAAGAAGCACCGGCUAACUCCGUGCCAGCAGCCGCGGUAAUACGGAGGGUGCAAGCGUUAAUCGGAAUUACUGGGCGUAAAGCGUGCGUAGGCGGUUUAUUAAGUCAGAUGUGAAAGCCCCGGGCUUAACCUGGGAAUUGCAUUUGAAACUGGUCAACUAGAGUAUGGUAGAGGAAAGUGGAAUUUCUGGUGUAGCGGUGAAAUGCGUAGAUAUCAGAAGGAACAUCAAUGGCGAAGGCAGCUUUCUGGACCAAUACUGACGCUGAGGUACGAAAGCGUGGGUAGCAAACAGGAUUAGAUACCCUGGUAGUCCACGCCGUAAACGAUGAUAACUAGCCGUUGGGGGGGAUUUACCCUUUAGUGGGCGAAGCUAACGCGUUAAGUUAUCCGCCUGGGGAGUACGGCCGCAAGGUUAAAACUCAAAGGAAUUGACGGGGACCCGCACAAGCGGUGGAGCAUGUGGUUUAAUUCGAUGCAACGCGAAGAACCUUACCUGGUCUUGACAUCCUGCGAACUUUCUAGAAAUAGAUUGGUGCCUUCGGGAACGCAGUGACAGGUGCUGCAUGGCUGUCGUCAGCUCGUGUCGUGAGAUGUUGGGUUAAGUCCCGUAACGAGCGCAACCCCUAUCCUUAUUUGCCAGCACGUCAUGGUGGGAACUAUAAGGAGACUGCCGGUGAUAAACCGGAGGAAGGCGGGGACGACGUCAAGUCAUCAUGGCCCUUACGACCAGGGCUACACACGUGCUACAAUGGGAAGGACAAAGAGCCGCGAAGCCGCGAGGUGUAGCUAAUCUCAGAAACCUUUUCGUAGUCCGGAUUGGAGUCUGCAACUCGACUCCAUGAAGUCGGAAUCGCUAGUAAUCGUAGAUCAGAAUGCUACGGUGAAUACGUUCCCGGGUCUUGUACACACCGC